rnacentral:misc_RNA from 1 species
CAGAGUUCAUGCCCUAACGGGUAGAUCUCCCACCCUUGUGUAGUAUAAAUAUCUGUUGCUUUGGCGGGUCGCGAGCUCACCCUCGCCCUGUGUACCCGCCAGAGGACCAAUAAACUCUGAAUGUUAGUGUCGUCUGAGUACUAUAUAAUAGUUA